rnacentral:lncRNA from 1 species
GGAAAUGAGAGAUGUAUUUUAAUAAAGUAAUGUAAUCAAAGUUAUGUUGUGAAUAUAUUUGAUUGAUGUGAGCAAUUCAUCCAAACAAACAAAAAGAGAAGUUGCCCACGUCCCAUUGAAAACCAAGUUCUGUGUACAACUUUUUCACUUGGCUGGGUCGAGCAUUGUGCUGAAGUACGUAUUACCAUUUUCAGGAAGACCAACUGAACUCAAGUAUCGUCAAAUUCUUGUAAGGGAGAAAAGUUAUACAUUUUUCUUGGAUUAAGAGCAUUUAUAUUCUAAAUGUCCACAGAGACAUCAUACGAAUUCAUCUUGUAGCUUAAAUUGUUUGCACUUUGUAUUAAUAAAUUUUCUAUCCACGGAGAUUUUGAG